CCCAACAAACCCUGGUUUUCGUGUCCGACCAUUCGUUUUAUUUAAAAAAAUUAUUAAAAAAAUUAAAAAGAUAAGUCACGCAUAAAGUAUUAAUCAUGUUUUAUCAUCUAACAAUAAUAAAAAUACUAAUUAUAAAAAAAUUUUAUAUAAGACGGACAGUCAAAUGUUGGCACGGAAACCCAGAGUUUACCUUUUU
rfam:Oryza glumipatula chromosome 6, whole genome shotgun sequence.